AGACGUCUACGUCGGGAGUCCGAUUCAAAUGCAACCUCUGGUCCCGAAGAUCGUAGUUCCGGUCUCAGAAGGGAUCUCUGCAAAGGCGUUUGUUUUGGAGUAAAACGUGAAGCGGAUCUUUUUCGUUGAUACGUUGCGGCCAGAUGUCGAUCCGGGAUACUUCAUGGUAAUGGCGUCUUCUGCUGAUGUU
rnacentral:rRNA from 1 species